CCGAGUUUUUACAACUCCCAAACCCUUUGUGAACCUUACCAAUCGUUGCUUCGGCGGUGUCGCGCCGGCGCCCCUGCGCGCCGGGACACCGCGCCCGCCGAAGGACCCAAACUCUUGCCUUUCCCAGUGGAACCUCUCUGAGUGGCACAAGCAAAUGAAUCA
rnacentral:misc_RNA from 1 species